rnacentral:rRNA from 1 species
UACGUAGGGUGCAAGCGUUUGUCCGGAAUUAUUGGGCGUAAAGAGCUCGUAGGCGGUUUGUCGCGUCUGCUGUGAAAACCCGAGGCUCAACCUCGGGCCUGCAGUGGGUACGGGCAGACUAGAGUGCGGUAGGGGGAGAUUGGAAUUCCUGGUGUAGCGGUGAAAUGCGCAGAUAUCAGGAGGAACACCGGUGGCGAAGGCGGGUCUCUGGGCCGAUACUGACGCUGAGGAGCGAAAGCGUGGGGAGCGAACAGG